rnacentral:rRNA from 1 species
CCGGAGCUUGCUCCACCGGAAAAAGAGGAGUGGCGAACGGGUGAGUAACACGUGGGUAACCUGCCCAUCAGAAGGGGAUAACACUUGGAAACAGGUGCUAAUACCGUAUAACAAUCAAAACCGCAUGGUUUUGAUUUGAAAGGCGCUUUCGGGUGUCGCUGAUGGAUGGACCCGCGGUGCAUUAGCUAGUUGGUGAGGUAACGGCUCACCAAGGCCACGAUGCAUAGCCGACCUGAGAGGGUGAUCGGCCACAUUGGGACUGAGACACGGCCCAAACUCCUACGGGAGGCAGCAGUAGGGAAUCUUCGGCAAUGGACGAAAGUCUGACCGAGCAACGCCGCGUGAGUGAAGAAGGUUUUCGGAUCGUAAAACUCUGUUGUUAGAGAAGAACAAGGAUGAGAGUAACUGUUCAUCCCUUGACGGUAUCUAACCAGAAAGCCACGGCUAACUACGUGCCAGCAGCCGCGGUAAUACGUAGGUGGCAAGCGUUGUCCGGAUUUAUUGGGCGUAAAGCGAGCGCAGGCGGUUUCUUAAGUCUGAUGUGAAAGCCCCCGGCUCAACCGGGGAGGGUCAUUGGAAACUGGGAGACUUGAGUGCAGAAGAGGAGAGUGGAAUUCCAUGUGUAGCGGUGAAAUGCGUAGAUAUAUGGAGGAACACCAGUGGCGAAGGCGGCUCUCUGGUCUGUAACUGACGCUGAGGCUCGAAAGCGUGGGGAGCAAACAGGAUUAGAUACCCUGGUAGUCCACGCC